rnacentral:lncRNA from 1 species
GAAGAAAUCAUUGUUACUAGACAUACCUAGACAACCGUUUCAGCCAAAAUAAUUGAGAAAGACCCACAAAGAGAGAAGAUGGAUGAAGAGCAAUACCAAAAGAGUUCAAAAUCACCUGAAAAGAAGUUAAAGACAGUUGAAUUCAAGAAAAAGAAAUGUGUUAGGUUUCUGUUACCCCAUAAAGCUGACAAGGAAAAGAAACCCUCUUCCCUUCGAGAUACAGAUGAGUCAAAGUUCAGAUGUGAAUGCCACCACUGCCAGAUGUGUGGGGGGAACACAUCUGGGGUCUCUGUGGGAACUAGGACUGAAGCAGUCUCUCCAUCAUCCUCCUGGGAAAAGCUAACACUAGACCUCAGUAACUUGACACUCAACCCUCAUAUCACCCAGCCCCAUCUUGUUCAAGACACCAUAUCCAAAGGAGAGAACAAAAUGCAGUGGCCAAGGAAAAACAAAAGGAUGUUUCAAAAGGUUCUCUACGAAUGGACAGAAUAACUCUGAUACUGUCAUCGACAUGAGAAGGAAGAUCCAAACCUACAGGAUCAUGAGUAUCAACAUCUUUUGGGGAGCAAGUUCAGGAGGAGUAAUGUCCAACCUGGUGAUAAUAAUACAGCCUGAUCAUGACUCUAAUCUAUUCCACAAAUAUAGCCAUCUUUUCCUUGGUAAUUUAGGCAUCUUACCUUAGGCAUUCUGGGAAGAGAUGCUCCUCAGCAAGGAUGACCAGAUUGCGAUUUUUCUACACUUCCCAUGUCAGUGUUCCCAUGGGAUUUGCUACCGAUUUUCCCCUCCUCGGGUUUGAGGCUUUUCCUCCCUUACAUUGUUGCCAGUAAAGUUAGAACAUCUAU